GUGCGAAAUCCCCGUUCAAAAUCAUGACUGAAAGCAUUUCAAAUCCAUGGGCCUUCGACUGCAUCUGCAGUACAAGCUAGCGUCUUGUUGCCACUGAAGCUUCAACUCAAAUACCUCCGAGGGGAUGGAAGGAGAAUAUAGCCUGAAAGCUAUUUUAGUGGGAGUGCUGGGAUAGCAUAUAGAUUAAAUAAGCAGAGGAGAUGAUGGCACUGAAACCUUUGUAGCAGAGGCAGCCUUCCAAUCAGUAGCAUUAUUCCCCUGUCUACAGAUUUGUUCGGAAUGAGAAGAAAAUAAGGAA